AUUGAACGCUGGCGGCAGGCCUAACACAUGCAAGUCGAACGAGUGGCGGACGGGUGAGUAAUGUCUGGGAAACUGCCUGAUGGAGGGGGAUAACUACUGGGAACGGUAGCUAAUACCGCAUACCAUCGGAUGUGCCCCGAGGGGAUUAGCUAGUAGGUGGGGUAACGGCUCACCUAGGCGACUAUCCCUAGCUGGUCUGAGAGGAUGACCAGCCACACUGGAACUGAGACACGGUCCAGACUCCUACGGGAGGCAGCAGUGGGGAAUAUUGAACAAUGGGCGCAAGCCUGAUGCAGCCAUGCCGCGUGUAUGAAGAAGGGCUUCGGGUUGUAAAGUACUUUCAGCUGGGAGGCGUUACCAACAGAAUAAGCACCGGCUAACUUCGUGCCAGCAGCCGCGGUAAUAC
rnacentral:rRNA from 1 species